rnacentral:rRNA from 1 species
GAUGAACGCUGGCGGCGUGCCUAAUACAUGCAAGUCGAGCGAACGGACGAGAAGCUUGCUUUUCUGAUGUUAGCGGCGGACGGGUGAGUAACACGUGGAUAACCUACCUAUAAGACUGGGAUAACUUCGGGAAACCGGAGCUAAUACCGGAUAAUAUUUUGAACCGCAUGGUUCAAAAGUGAAAGACGGUCUUGCUGUCACUUAUAGAUGGAUCCGCGCUGCAUUAGCUAGUUGGUAAGGUAACGGCUUACCAAGGCAACGAUGCAUAGCCGACCUGAGAGGGUGAUCGGCCACACUGGAACUGAGACACGGUCCAGACUCCUACGGGAGGCAGCAGUAGGGAAUCUUCCGCAAUGGGCGAAAGCCUGACGGAGCAACGCCGCGCGAGUGAUGAAGGUCUUCGGAUCGUAAAACUCUGUUAUUAGGGAAGAACAUAUGUGUAAGUAACUGUGCACAUCUUGACGGUACCUAAUCAGAAAGCCACGGCUAACUACGUGCCAGCAGCCGCGGUAAUACGUAGGUGGCAAGCGUUAUCCGGAAUUAUUGGGCGUAAAGCGCGCGUAGGCGGUUUUUUAAGUCUGAUGUGAAAGCCCACGGCUCAAUCGUGGAGGGUCAUUGGAAACUGGAAAACUUGAGUGCAGAAGAGGAAAGUGGAAUUCCAUGUGUAGCGGUGAAAUGCGCAGAGAUGUGGAGGAACACCAGUGGCGAAGGCGACUCUCUGGUCUGUAACUGACGCUGAUGUGCGAAAGCGUGGGGAUCAAACAGGAUUAGAUACCCUGGUAGUCCACGCCGUAAACGAUGAGUGCUAAGUGUUAGGGGGUUUCCGCCCCUUAGUGCUGCAGCUAACGCAUUAAGCACUCCGCCUGGGGAGUACGACCGCAAGGUUGAAACUCAAAGGAAUUGACGGGGGCCCGCACAAGCGGUGGAGCAUGUGGUUUAAUUCGAAGCAACGCGAAGAACCUUACCAAAUCUUGACAUCCUUUGACAACUCUAGAGAUAGAGCCUUCCCCUUCGGGGGACAAAGUGACAGGUGGUGCAUGGUUGUCGUCAGCUCGUGUCGUGAGAUGUUGGGUUAAGUCCCGCAACGAGCGCAACCCUUAAGCUUAGUUGCCAUCAUUAAGUUGGGCACUCUAAGUUGACUGCCGGUGACAAACCGGAGGAAGGUGGGGAUGACGUCAAAUCAUCAUGCCCCUUAUGAUUUGGGCUACACACGUGCUACAAUGGACAAUACAAAGGGCAGCGAAACCGCGAGGUCAAGCAAAUCCCAUAAAGUUGUUCUCAGUUCGGAUUGUAGUCUGCAACUCGACUACAUGAAGCUGGAAUCGCUAGUAAUCGUAGAUCAGCAUGCUACGGUGAAUACGUUCCCGGGUCU